CCCGACGCCGGACGCGCGCCGGGCGGGGCAGCUCCGCUGGUCCGAGGGCAGUGCAGCAGCGGCGACAGCGGCUGCGGCCGUGGCCGUGGCGGGAGGAGCCGGAAGCCCCGCCCCCGGGGAGGGGCCGUCCUGCAGGUCCCUGAGCGUUCCCUUGGAUCCAUCACCCCUUCCCCACCCCAGUCCCUGGAGACUCACCCAUUGAAGGCUGUGACGUAUCGGAUGAGUUUCCGCCGCUCGUCCCCAGGGAACUCCCCGUAAAGAAAGAAGUGCUUGCCCUGGAAGAAAUCUGCAGGAGAGAAGGGGGCUAAGCAUCUGUCUCUCCCGCCAGACUUUUAAGCUCCACAAGAGCAAGGACAGUAUCGUCUGAGUUGUUCCCUACUGUGUCCCCAAGGCCAAGAACAGUGUCUGGUCCUUCCCAGCUCUGCUGAUUUCCUGCUGUGUGAUCCUGGAGCAAAUGGUUUCAUUUCACCCCUUGUGCCUCAGUUUUCGAACCUAUGAAAUGGGGACAAUAACAACGUCUAUCUCAUAAAGUUGUUGAGAACAUUCAAAUCCAUACCAAGAAUGAGAAAUAACAUACCAAGUGCCUGGAAUACUGCCUGGCACCGAGCAAACACUACAUAAAUGUCAGCUGCGAAUAUCAUUAACACAGCAGGCCUCUACUGCAUUCCCAAUGGAUGUACAGACAGACGCAGAACAGGCGCCCAGCAACCGUUUGCAGAAGUUACUACUCAAGAGUUAUUAAGCAGUAACUCUGGCUCUGUCCUCCCUUACCAAGUGGCCCUGUUGAGCCCCUUCUCUGCUGCUUGCCUGGGUGUCCCAUCUGUCACAAGAGGAUCAUCAUGGCUAACAUUUUCGGAUUCUCACCAUGUGCCAGGUGCUUGGUGUAUGAGUUUCCUGUUACUGUUGUACAAAUUAGCACAAACUUUGUGGCUAAAAACACAAAUUUGGCCAGGCGCAGUGGCUCACGCCUGUAAUCCCAGAACUUUGGGAGACUGAGGCAGGCGGAUCACCUGAGGUAGGGAGUUCGAGACCAGCCUGACCAAAAUGCAGAAACUCCGUCUCUACUAAAAAUACAAAAUUAGCCAGGCGUGGUGGCGCAUGCCUGUAAUCCCAGCUACUCAGGAGGCUGAGGCAGGAGAAUUGCUUAAACCGGGGGGGCGGAGGUUGCAGUGAGCCGAGAUCACACCACUGCACUCCAGCCUGGGCAAGAAGAGCGAAACUCCGUCUC
rnacentral:lncRNA from 10 species